rnacentral:rRNA from 1 species
CGCGGUUAUACAUCAUUUUCAGGAAUAAUUUAUUUGAUAAUAGUAUUUUUUUUUUGUAAUAAAUUAUUGUUUCAAUGUUUGGUGAAAUAUUAUUGAUUAUUUAUAUAUAUUUCUAAAUUUCUAUUAAGGCUGUUAUUAAACUGGGAUUAGAUACCCCAUUAUUUCAGAUUUUAUUAGUUGUCAGGUUAGUAGAAUUUUAUUUGAAAUCUAAAGAAUUUGGCGGCAUUUUAUCUUUAUAGGGGAACCUGUUCUUUAAAUGAUGAUACACGAUUGGCUUUACUAGAUUUUAUGGUUUGUAUAUUUCCGUUAUAAGUGAAUUUAUGGAUAAUAUUUUCUUGUUUUUUAAUGAAAACUUAUUUCAGGUCAAGGUGCAGCUUAUGGUUUAGUUUGAAAUGGGUUACAAUAUAUUUAUAUAAAUGGAUUUUUUUUUUAAACUUGAAAUUGAAGGUGGAUUUAUAAGUAAGUUUUUAUAAUUCUAAGGACUGAAUUAGCUCUAAUUUGUGUACAUAUCGCCCGUCACUCUCAUUUAUUUGAGAUAAGUCGUAACAAAGUAGAUUUACUGGAAAGUGAAUCUGGAUUA